UACGGGGGGGGCAAGCGUUGUUCGGAAUUACUGGGCGUAAAGGGCUCGUAGGUGGCCAACUAAGUCAGACGUGAAAUCCCUCGGCUUAACCGGGGAACUGCGUCUGAUACUGGAUGGCUUGAGUUUGGGAGAGGGAUGCGGAAUUCCAGGUGUAGCGGUGAAAUGCGUAGAUAUCUGGAGGAACACCGGUGGCGAAGGCGACUACCUGGCCUGUUCUUGACGCUGAGGCGCGAAAGCUAGGGGAGCAAACGGGG
rnacentral:rRNA from 1 species